AUGCACCGAAGCUGCGGCAGCGAUAUGUAAAUAUUGUUGGGUAGGGGAGCGUUCUGUAAGCCUGUGAAGGUGUACUGCGAGGUAUGCUGGAGGUAUCAGAAGUGCGAAUGCUGACAUAAGUAACGAUAAUGCGGGUGAAAAACCCGCACGCCGGAAGACCAAGGGUUCCUGUCCAACGUUAAUCGGGGCAGGGUGAGUCGACCCCUAAGGCGAGGCAGAAAUGCGUAGUCGAUGGGAAACGGGUUAAUAUUCCCGUACUGGUGAUAAUUGCGAUGGGGGGACGGAGAAGGCUAGGCUAUCCGGGCGACGGUUGUCCCGGUUUAAGGAUGUAGGCAGGUGAAUUAGGCAAAUCCGGUUCACUAUAUGCUGAGGUCCGACGACGAGUCACUACGGUGAUGAAGUAGCUCAUGCCCCGCUUCCAGGAAAAGCCUCUAAGCUCUAGAUUAUCAUUAAUCGUACCCCAAACCGACACAGGUGGUCAGGUAGAGAAUACUCAGGCGCUUGAGAGAACUCGGGUGAAGGAACUAGGCAAAAUGGUGCCGUAACUUCGGGAGAAGGCACGCUGGCGCUAGGUGAAGUCCCUCGCGGAUGGAGCUGAAGCCAGUCG
rnacentral:rRNA from 1 species